UACGUAGGGGGCAAGCGUUGUCCGGAUUUAUUGGGCGUAAAGCGCGUGUAGGCGGCCAGAAAAGUCCGCUGUGAAAACUCGAGGCUCAACUUCGAGCUGUCGGUGGAAACUUUCUGGCUAGAGUCCGGAAGAGGAGAAUGGAAUUCCUGGUGUAGCGGUGAAAUGCGCAGAUAUCAGGAAGAACACCCGUGGCGAAGGCGGUUCUCUG
rnacentral:rRNA from 1 species